AGAUAAGCGGGUGAGUUGCGGGGCGGGCGGGCACGCAUGCACGUGGACAUAUGUGUGGGGCAACGCUUCAAGAACAGGCGCGGAGGGAGCCCACGGGGCUGCGUGUAGAGCCUCCACGUGCAGAGGCUGUCUAUCUUUGCAUGCCUGUUGCAAGGAGGAGGCAAUGGCGAGAGAUGGAGCGUGGCUUCCUGUCUCGCGGGUGCGCUUCCUUGGGCCGCCUGGCUGGAGACUAGAACCUGCGUCAGCCUUGCAACUGGAGGCGGCUUCCCCUGCUUGACCCGUGACUGGAGACUAGAACCUGCGUCAGCCUUGCAACUGGAGGCGGCUUCCCCUGCUUGACCUGUGGAAAGUGUUCCUGGACUUCUUUUGGCCGAUAUCUUGAUAUAUACUGUUGAAAGUCAGGACCACACUCAGCAUCAGCACAAAUUCCAAGUGGCCCCCGUUAUCCGCAGUUUCACCACUUGCAGUUUUGCGUAUCUGCAGUUGGACAAUAUAUACCCAGCCUCAUUAUCCGUGGUGGAGGAACUCAUCCAAACCCAUCAGGAGGAGGAAUUGGAGAACAUCAUCCAGGCAGCUCCUGAGAGUGAGGGAGGAGAUGCUCCCCGAACCCUUUACCACGAAGGACUUGUCUGAGAUUCUGCAGCUGGGGGCUGCCUUGGCCGACAAGGUCUUCGAAAUGGAUCCCCAGAUGGAGCGCAGCAUCCAGUUCAAAAGGCAGUUGGAGGCUGCUUUGCAACCCUAUAAGGACACCUACUGGGCUCUGCAAAGCACCCUCACCGGCUACUUGGACCAGGUAGCUACACCCAGCACCACAGCCCUGGAACCAUCAUCUGAAAGCGACCCGUCCACUUUCUAUGGUUUUGAGGAGGACAGUGACAGUGACAAUGCCAGAAGCAGGUCUGCCUCUCCAGGGCCACUUGCUGCUACCUGAUCUGUGCGCCAAGCUGGAGACUGGAGUGCUGUGAACUCCAGAACCACCACAGUGGAGCGAGUUAAUUCCUCCGUCCUAGUUUUGAUUUUUGCUGCCUCAGGCCGGAGGGAGCAGGAGUGCUGCAAAUCCGAGCAGUGAGGUAACGCCUCUGCUUUAGUUUAGUUAACUUUGUGCUGCCUGUUGGGCCAGCCUUCCAACCAAGCAGGCCAAGGGGCUUGUGCUGCAGAGUGCUGGGCUUCAACAGAGAAGUGAAGAAACUUGAAGAUUACGCAUUCCUGGAGGAGCGGGAGAGCAGCAGAGCCGAGAUGGCCAAGGUACAGUGCUGGGCUCCAUCCUUAUCUCUGCUUUUACCCUGUCUUCUCUGUGGUUUCCUGAGCUCCACGACCAGAACAGAACCCCCACAAAUAGCGAGGGCCACCUGGAUCCUGAAACAAAAGCUGCUGACAGCUGGAGCUGGCUGUAUGGAGUUUGAGGUGGAGCUGAGUAGGAAAAGCUCUUGCAAUCCUAGGCUUCUGUCGAGGGCCCAAAUGUUUCCUUCCCACUACUCACUUAAGUGGCGCAGCAGAAAAAUGACUUGACUAGCAAGCCAGAGGUUGCCGGUUCAAAUCCCCGCUGGUCUGUUUCCCGGACUAUGGGAAACUCCUGUAUUAUCAGGCAGCAGCGAUAUAGGAAGAUGCUGAAAGGCAUCAUCAUCUCAAACUGUGCGGGAGAUGGCAAUGGUCAACCCCUCCUGUAUUCUACCAGAGACAACCACAGGGCUAGUCUGUGGGCACCAGGAGUCAACACCGACUCAACAGCACACUCUACCUUACUCGCUUAGCCACAACUUUCUUCCAGUCAGGCGAAAAUAAUUGCAGUUUCCCCCGAACUCAGAUUUGUCUGAGGCUUUGUUGUAGACUGUCUUGAGCACUUGUUUUGGAAGAGCAAUAUACAAAUAUUUAACCUAACAUACCAAUUGCAAGGAUGUAUACAAAAUAUUUAGUUUUGGGAGCAGGCACAGGAUGUAUCUGAAGUGUUAUUUCCAGGGGUGGUGGUUAAAGACAUCCUAAUGAUGAAUGGUGAGGAGGAAAAACAGUGGGGGAGAUUUUGAAUAUGGGUGCCUGUCGUCGCCCCCCCCCCCCCCCGCCCUUAUGACUCUGGGUAACCGUGAGCUACAAGUUAGGGAUCUCUCUGGGUCUAUCGUUGCGGCCAGUCACCAGCCCCAUUAAGAUGUAUAGAUGACUGCAGUGGGGCUUUAAUACCAGGAGGCGGCAGGCGGGAACCAGGCUGUUUAAGAGUCUCUUCCUUCAAGAAUAUGUGAAAGACGAUGCCAGCGGCUGCACAGCAGACAGCAAAGAGGUAGCCAGAAUGUUUUAAAUAAAAAUUGUAUUAAUGUUUUAAUUGUUGUCUCUAUUGUAUUACUGUUGUGAGCAACCCUGAAUAGCACUGUUGACUGGUGGGGCAGGAUAUAAAUAUUGUAAAUAAGUAAAAUUUAUUUCAUUAUAGAGCUGUUCGUGUGGUAGCAAGCAUGAACUCCCCUUUGCUAAGCAGGGUUUGCUCUGGUUUGCAUUUGAAUAGGAGACUGCAUGUGUGAGCACUGCAAGGUAUUCCCCUGAGGGGAUGGGGCCGCUCUGGGAAGAGCAUCUGCCUGCUUGCAGAAGGUUCCCAGUUCCCUCCCUGGCAGCAUCUCCAGAUAGGGUGGAGAGAAACUGCUACCUGCAGCCUUGGAGAAGCUGCUGCCAGUCUGGGUUGACAAUACUGAGCUAGAUGGACCUGUGGUCUGAUUCGGUAUAAGGCAGAUCCCUAUGUUCCUAAAAUCUUCGUCUUGGUUCCUGUGGGUUUCAAAACUCCUUUUUCUCUGAGAUGCACAUAUGCUUUGCCUGUAGGUUUCACACCUAGCUGUUUGGCCAUCAUGAGAAACGAAAGAAUCAUGGAUGUAAAUGGAGGAACACUUCGCUCUGCCUUGGUUCUGUCUGUGGCCGUCGUUAUUCAAAAAGUGGCUGAGGCUCUCCUCCCAUCCAUAGAGUCCCUUGCACCUCCGUAAUCCUGUUAAUUAGGGUCUCCCCCUCUCUUUCCAUCUCAGAGGUGACAGACACCGAGAGCCAGAUCCCUGUUUGAAAUCUAUUUUUUAAGACGGGGUUCCCGACCUGUGGUCCUCCAGACAUUGAACUACAACUCCCAUCACCCCAGCUACAAUUUAUUUUGACCAGGGAUGAUGGGAGUUGUAGUUCAGCAACAUCUAGAGUACUGCUUGGGAAGAGUUCCUAGCUUAGGUGCUGAAACGCUUAGAGCGCACUCUUGAGAGAGUUCAGAGGUGUUUUGUCCUGGAGAAGGGAACAAAGCACAACACCCCCGCCACCAUGCUCUUAAGCUGGAGAUUCUGGAUCCAUCUGUCCUGCAACAGAUACUGUAUGCAUGCAGUAGCCUGCUACUCUGCCCGCCUCUCUUUUCCUGUUACAAACCUGGAAUUGAUUUAAUUCCUAGAGGAUGGCAACUGUGACCCUGGCCAGCAGAAGCCCGCCCAAAGGCCAGUGACUGACAUCAGAACAAGCCCUCCUGGAGGCUACUGCCAGAGGGGGAGAUGGGCACCAGGCCUUCCAUGUGAAUCAGCUGCUGAAGAGCUCCUCGCUACAAGCACAGACCCCCAUGAGAAGAGUCCUUGGAGAAACUGCAAGCCAGAAAGCCUCGCCAGAAUCCAGUCAUGAACACCAAGACACAGAGGCAACAGUAAAUCAGAAGUUAAUUGGCUGUGAAAUGCAUGUUCAGUCUCACACACACAGCAAGUAUGUGGAAGGAGCCCACACUUGUGAAAAAUCAGCCCAGUGCAAGUAACCCUGGCUGUGGUGCAGCAGUAAAUGCGUUGCCAGGGCAGCAGAUGGUGCUUGAUGAGUGAACUUGGCCUCACUGCAUGUGCAAAGUUGGUGGAACCGGCUACUAUGAGCCUCGCUAUAAGGAUGGUACAAGGCAGGGGCUAGAGAGCAGCAGAUGCAGUGAGAGAGUCUUCAGCAGAGAAAGUAGCCUUUGACCUCCUCAGAGCAGAUGCUGCAGAGGAUAGACCUUUCUGAACAGCUGCAGUUGUCUUGCCUGUGGGCACACAUUACAGCUAAAACCAGCCCACAUUGCAGAGAAGAUGGGAUGUGGUCUGCUGGAGGUUGAAUUUGGCUCAGGCCACUUUAUGUCCCCCAGUGACACAGGCAGGCAUCUUGGUGCAUGAUGAUCUAUCCAGAGAGAAACUGCCGCCAGAUUUCAUAGAAAUGAAGGAGACAUUUAAGCAGAUUCUGAGAGCCUGUGUGUACAUGCUAGAUGCUGUUGUGUGUCCACGUAGGUGUAACCUUACACUCUGUGCUGUCUGAAUAAACCCCUUUUCUGAGCCCCUCCA